rnacentral:rRNA from 1 species
CAGCCGUAAACUAUGCGCGUUAGGUGUACUGGUGACCACGAGUCACCGGGUGCCGAAGGGAAACCGUGAAACGUGCCGCCUGGGAAGUACGGUCGCAAGGCUGAAACUUAAAGGAAUUGGCGGGGGAGCACCACAACGGGUGGAAGCCUGCGGUUUAAUUGGACUCAACGCCGGAAAUCUCACCGGAUAGGACAGACAUAUGAUAGUCGGGCUGAAGACUCUACUUGAUGAUCUGAGAGAUGGUGCAUGGCGUCAGUGACU